AUUUAUAUAGUUUAUAAGAAAACAUUUCAUUUUCAAUGAAAAAAUAAGAUAUAUCUUUAUAAAUA
rnacentral:tRNA from 1 species